rnacentral:piRNA from 1 species
UNCUGUGUAGAUACUACUAGGCUGACUGU